CACAACCACAUUCAAUCAGGCUGAAUUACAACAGUGUUUUGUCUUCAGUGGUUAGUACCAAAAUUGCUUGGGACCCCAGGGAACCUAAAUCUGUGAUUGUCUCUAAACAGCAUCAUGCAAAGUCCGAGUUAUUCAUUCACCAGAAUUGGUCCAGUAUGUGUAGGUCAUCUUGGGGUUUGUACAACCCCAAUUCCAAAAAUGUUGGGACGCUGUGUAAAAUGAAAAAAUAAGGUAGUUUUGAAUUUGAUGGCCGCAACACGUACCACAAAUUUGGGACGGAGGCAACAAAAGGCUGGAAAAAGUGAAGAAGUGUUACUAAAAAGAAACAGAUGGAGGAACAUUUUGCAACUAGUUAGGUUAAUUAGCAACAGUGGUAGCAGAGCUGCCAUGCAAGGCGCUAACUUGCCAUCCGGAGCAACUUGGGGUUCAGUGUCUUUCCCAAGGACACUUUGGCAUGUGGAGUCAUGUGGGCCGGGAAUCGAACCGCCAACCCUACGAUUAGUGGACAACCCGCUCUACCACCUGAGCCACAGCCGCCCACAGGGAUGAGUGAACAUUCUAAUGCUUAUCUGUACGGUACAGAUGUUCCUCUUUUUAGUUGGCCAUCUCGUCUAUCUUUGCUCCUUGUCUGACCCAUGAUAGGGUCAGACUUGUGCUUGUAACUUAUUCUUUAUAUUUUAUGCAUUCUUCUGACUUAAACAUGUGGUCAAACGUCAGCCCUGGGCCUUCCGAGGCAGUUGAUACACGCAAACCCAUCUCAUACUUCUCCCACUUUUCUCCAGGUGUUCCUCUCUUUUGCACCUAAGUGCAUUGCAAACUUCACAAUGGCCUUUAUGUUAAUAAUAAUAAUAAUGUGCCCAAUACACAUACCGUGAAACUUUAUUCUGUAAAAGCAGAGAGUAAUGUUUCUUUUUUAAUAAUGUUAAAUGUUAAUAAUCUAAAUUUCCUUGUGUGUGUGUGUGUGUGUGUGAACUUUUCACCUGCACCUGGGUACUUCCUUCUUCAACAGUCCAUCUGUCAGAACUUCCUCGUUCUAGUGCUGGUGUGCUCAUACACAACCACCACACUGUCUAGUGUAAAACAAUGGCUGCCUUUAGGUUUUAAGAUUUCACUUGGCUCAAUAUUAAUUAUCUAUAUUUUAUUCAUUAGUUUAUAUACUUUUAUGUGUUAUUUUAUCCCAAAUUUCCUACAGGUGCCCAUGGUUUCCCAAAAGAACUUCAAAUUUUGAUUCGUCUGACCACAGAACAGUUUUCCAAUUUGCCUCAGUCCAUUUUAAAUGAGCUUUUGCCCAGAGAAGAUGGCAGCAUUUCUGGAUCAUGUUCAAAUAUGGCUUCUUCUUUGCAUAACAGAUCUUUAACCAGCAUUUGUGAACUGUGGCGAACUGUGUUCACAGACAUUGAGUUCUGGAGGUGUUUCUGAGCCCAUGCAGUGAUUUCCAUUACAGAAUCAUGUUUGUUUUUAAUGCAGUGGCUCCUGAGGGCCUGAAGGUCACAGGCAUGCAAUAUUGAUUUUCACCCUUGUCCCUUGCGCAUAGAGAUUUCUCCAAUUUUAUGUUGAGGAACAUUAUUCUGAAACUGUUCCACAAAUUGUAGACGCAGUUUUUCACAGAUUAGUGAACCUCUGCGCAUCUUUGCUUCUAAAAGACUCUGCCUCUCUAAGAUACUCUUUUUAUACCCAAUCAUCUUGGGUUGACACCUGUUCUCAAUUAACCUCCAGCUGUAUCUUUUUAGUAACACUUACUUUCCCAGCCUUUUGUUGCACCGUCUCAACUUCUUUGAGACGUGUUACAACCAUCAAAUUCAAAAUUACUUUUUUUUUUCUUCUUAAAACGGUACAUUUCCUCAGUUUAAACAUAUGUUUUCUAUGUGAAUAACAUAUGGGUUUGAGAUUUGCAAAUCAUCACCUUCUGUUUUUAUUUACAUUUCACACAGCAUGCCAACUUUUUUGGAAUUGGGGUUGUAAGUAGGAAAAACAAACAUGAUUGAUUAAUUCCCAGCUGGUUAAAGUAGUAAAUGACCAACUGCAUGUGUUUCUGUUAUGAUGCCGUUUUCUUAAAAUGGUCACAUCUACAAGUUAUUGUCUGGUAUAGAUCUUAAUUAAUAGUCUGGUAGCAUCAGUAAAGAGUCUGUAAAUUGCAAUUAUGCUGUCCUACAAGGAUGACAUCACAUCCAGGCUGCU